rnacentral:rRNA from 1 species
AAGCGCUUGCAGCCAGACUUGCCUAUAGAUGCUCAUCCAGACACAUGCCUGGUGCACUCGUCUGUAGGCAGGCCAGCAUUAGUUUAGGCGGUUGGAUAAAGGUUUUGGGAAUGUGGCUCUCUUCGGGGAGUGUUAUAGCCCAGAGUGCAAUGCAACCAGCUUGGACUAAGGUCCGCGCUUCGGCUAGGAUGCUGGCGUAAUGGCCGCAAGCGG